rnacentral:misc_RNA from 1 species
CAAAUCCCCUCUUUCUUACGAUGGAAGAUGGCGAGACCUUGGUCUCGGCAUCUUUUAGCGUGAUUAAUGAGGAAGACAUUUGCAUGGGGAGCGGGGGCGCGUCUAGCGCUGCCGAGGCCCUGAUGUAGACGCUUGCGAGUUUGACGGGUACAGGGAGAACAGCAAAGAGA